UAUACAGAAGAUCUCAAAAACUAUCAAGCGCUAUGAUGACCACCACAGGAAUGGAAGACCCAGAGUUACCUCUGCUGCAUAGGAUAAGUUCAUUAGAGUUACCAGCCUCAGAAAUUGCAUUGCAAAUAAAUGCUUCACGGAGUUCAAGUAACAGACACAUCUCAACAUCAACUGUUCAGAGGAGACUGUGUGAAUCAGACCUUCAUGGUUGAAUUGCUGUAAAGAAACAACUACUAAAGGACACCAAUAAUAAGAAGAGACUUGCUUGGUCCAAGAAACACAAGCAAGAGACAGACCGGUGGAAAUUUGUCCUUGGGUCUGGAGUUCAAAUUGGAGAUUUUUGGGUCCAACCACCGUGUCUUUGUGAGACGCAGUGGCAAUGACCCAACACACCUACAGGCUGUGUAAGGGCUACUUGACCAAGAAGGAGAGUGAUGGAGAGCUGCAUCAAAUGACCUGGCUGUGCCCAGUCCAGGCACGGCGUCCAGUCCCGAUCCAUUGCCGGAGCCUUCCUCUGCACCGGUGCUCAGUCCAGGCACGGCGUCCAGUCCUGCUCCAUGGCCGGAGCCUUCCUCUGCCCCAGUGCCCAGUCCAGGCACGGCGUCCAGUCCCGCUCCAUUGCUGGAGCCUUCAUCUGUGCCGAUGCCCAGUCCAGGCACGGCGUCCAGUCCCGCUCCAUGGCCAGAGCCAUCCUCUGCUCCGGUGCCAAGUCCGGGCAUGGCAUUCAGCUCGGCUUUAGGGUCAGAUCCUCGGUCUGAUCACCGGAGCCACCACCGACGCUAUUUGCCCACCCUAACCCUCCCCAUCUAGGUUCAGGUUUUGCGGUCAGAGUCCGCACCUUUUGGGUGGGGGGGUACUGUCGCGCCCUGACCAUAGAGAGCUCUUGGUGUUCUCUAUGGUGCAAUAGGUCAGAGCGUGACUAGGGGGUGUUCUAGUCUCGAAUUUCUAUGUUGGUGUGAGUAUGGUUCCCAAUUGGAGGCAGCUGAUGAUCGUUGCCUCUAAUUGGGGAUCAUACUUAAUGUGGUCCUUUUCCCACCUGCGUUUGUGGGAUAUUGUUUCAUUUUGGUUUAGGUCUAUGUGCGGUACGAACUUCACGUUCAUUUAUUCUUUGUUGUUUUUUUGAUGGUUCACUUUAAUAAAUAUGUGGAACUCUA
ensembl:lncRNA